UGGUAAAGUGAGGUAUUAUGUAAUAUUGUGUUAAGAUGACCUACAGAGUUUUAGGGUUUCGUGAAAUUCUGAUUGUUAUAGAUGUGGAUUGUGAUAGAGUAUUUAGGGUUUCGUGAAAUUGAGAUUGUUAUAAUUGUUGAUUGUCUAAUACUUUUACCAACAGUUUAUCUUAAUAUGAGCUCAAUACCGACAGACCGUCGACUUCUAGUUUUCAUUGAGGUGAAUUCUGAUUGUUGAUUGUGCUGUAAUCUCUGCUGCACUUUUACAUACAAAGGAAUGGAUUGUACAUUUGAUGUAAAUCUCUGCUGCAUUUUUACAUGGAUUGUACAUUUGCUGAGUAAGGAAUGGAUAUACACAUUUACUAACAGUUUAUCUUAGUAAGUGCUCAAUGGUGACCGACUGUCAGCUUGUGAAAUUCUGACUGUUGAUUGCGGUGUAAUCUGUCGGCUGCACUUUUACCUACAAAGAGAUUAAUAGCCAAUGAUUAUAACUAAAAGCAAAUUCACAAUCCAAAAUUCUGUACAUAAAGAGGAGAUACGGACAUAAAUGAUCAUUUUAAAGAUUGAGAUGACUCUUUCCUUCAUUUUCCAGCAGUAGACAUUAGGCAGAGAGAGCAUAGAGGCACCCUCAUAUAAACAGAGUUCAGAAAAGUAGAGAACGUAAUGCCCUUUAUUUACGGGUCAUAUACUCCAAUUUCAACUACUAAUAUCAAGCUCCUUAGAUCCCCAUCACAAGUAAUAAAACCUAGAACCGAUAAGCAGUACAAGUAAUCUCUAUUAAUAGAUCAACAAAAUGGAUAAGCACUAAAGUAAUACUUCAAGCAUUUCAGUGUGACAGAAUUCAUAACAUUACACCCAGACAUAAUAAUAGCAAAAGGUGGUUCAAGUCACUUAGUUAGGACAAAGCAAACAGCGCAAAAGCAAGCUAAAAAAAAAAAAGGAAUACCUCCAAAGUCUGUCCUGUCCACCUUAAGGAGAAAGGUAUCUUUAUUUCUUUCAGAUCUUUGUUUGACAUGUUCCUACAGAUGCCAUGACACUGUAUAUUGCAGAUGCCUAGGCCUAAGAGGGGAUUUAAUCAGAAUGGGAAGAAUAAUAAGAGUGUCAAAAAUAAGCCAGCAGAAGUGACACCAGAACCAAAAGAUGAAUGGCUAUGUAACCUGUGCAACAAGAUGAUAAGUGCCAAGAUAACAACAGUAAAUGUACACAGAGAUGCAUGCAGAAAAAUCAAGGUGAGCAUUCAGUGUAUAUUGAUGCAUUAAAGUAUCUGAAUGAUUAGUGUACUAAUGAAUUCAAAUUUUGAAUCAGGAUGCCCAAGAUAGGGCGGCAGCAAAUGCAAGGGCAAAUGCAAGAGGGGGACUUCACUAAGGGGGAAGCUGCUAAGGAUUUGUUUGCAUGAAAUAUCAAAAUCCGUAUGUGAAAAUGUAUGAUAUUUUGAAAUAUAAAUCUUUGUAUGUGAUAAUUGGCUUUGCCAAAAGGGGAUUUACAAUGAUUUGAGACUCAAGGUUCAUUGUGUCUGUUUGAUACAGGACAUAAAUGUUUUGAGAUAUUUUGUUUGUAUGUUUCAGAAAUUUUGAUAAAGGAGUUGACAGAUUGUUAAGACUAAUACCUUUAAUGUAACAGAUUGUUAAGUGUGAAGCAUUUACUUGGUCUGUAUUUUGGUAUGUGAUAUUGGGCUUUGCCAUAAGGGGAUUUACAGAGAUUUGAGACUCAAGUUCCAUUGAGACUCAAGGUACUUUGUAUCUGUUUGAUCCAACACAUAGAUUUGAUAUUUGGCUUUGCCAUAAGGGGAUUUACAGAGAUUUGAGACUCAAGGUACUUUGUAUCUGUUUCAUCCAGGAUAUAGAUCCUUGAAUGUUUGAGAUAUCUUGCUUGUAUUUUUGAGAUAUAGAAAAAUUGACAGAUUGUUUAGUGUGAUACCUUCACUUAGCUAAUUAUUCAUUGACAGAUUUUUAAAUGUGAUACAUUUACUUACAGUGACAGAUUGUUUAGUGUAAUACCUUCAGAUUGAUUAAUGUGAUACCUUUACUGAUAUUUUGAAGACAGAUUGUUUACUUGUUUUCUGUACACAUUUACUUAGACGUUUGUUCACUUAGAAGUUUGCUGUUAGAGUUCAGUUAGACGUUUACUCCAUAAGUUCACUUAGCCGCUUACUGUUAGAGUUCAGUUAGACACUUACUCCAUAAGUUCACUUAGACGCUUACUCCAUAAGUUUACUUAGAAGUUUGCAGACUUAGAGUUCACUUAGAAGUUCUGACUUAGACAUUUGCUGCAUCGGCUCACUUAGACGCUUGCUGUUAGAAUUCACUUGGACGCUUGCUGUUAGAAUUCACUUACACGCUUACUGUAAGAGUUCACUUAGACGCCUACUGUUAGAGUUCACUUAGACGCUUACUGUUAAGAGUUCACUUAGACGCUUACUGUUAGAGUUCACUUAGACGCUUACUGUUAGAGUUCACUUAGACACUUACUCCAUAAGUUUACUUAGACGCUGACUUAAGAGUUUACUUAGAAGUUUGCUGACUAAAGAGUUCACUUAGAAGUUUGCUGACUUAGACGUUUAUUGUAAGUAUGCUGACUUAGACAUUUAUUGUAAGAGUGCACUAAGAAGUUUACUGACUUGGACGUUUGCUGCAUAGGCUCACUUAGAUGUUUGCUGCAUCGGCUCACUUAGAAGCAUAGGCUCACUUAGACACUUACUUUUAUAGUUCACUUAGACGCUAGCUGUUAGAGUCACUUAGAAGCUUACUCCAUAAGUUCACUCAGACACUUACUGUUAGAGUUCAGUUAGACGCUUACUCCAUAAGUUCACUUGGAAGUUUUCUGACUUAGAGUUUAAUUAGAAGUUUGCUGACUUAGAGUUUAAUUAGAAGUUUGC
rnacentral:lncRNA from 1 species